UGCUCGGUAGCUUAGAUGGUAAAGAAUCUGCCUGUAAUGUAGGAGGCCCAGGUUCAAUCCCUGGCUUGGGAA
rnacentral:tRNA from 1 species